ACACGACUACAUUAGAUACCCCCUGUAGUCCCAGCCCUAAACGAUGCGCGUUAGGUGUAUCGGUGACCACGAGUCACCGAGGUGCCGAAGGGAAACCGUGAAACGUGCCGCCUGGGAAGUACGGUCGCAAGGCUGAAACUUAAAGGAAUUGGCGGGGGAGCACAACAACGGGUGGAGCUUGCGGUUUAAUUGGAUUCAACGCCGGAAAUCUUACCGGGACCGACAGCAACAUGAAGGCCAAGCUGAAGACUUUGCCGGAUUAGCUG
rnacentral:rRNA from 1 species